AUAACACAUUAGAACUACACAAGGGGAUAUAAGUUCCUCUUUUGUAUUCUUGCUGUCAUUUGAAAGUGAUUUGAACUUUGCUAAGAUGCUCACUGAGAUCAACGGAUUCUGUUUGAAGUUACUGAAUAUACUCUACAGACAGAUGAUGUUUCCUGAAUCAAUUCCUCUCUUUUUGACUGUUCUUGUGUUCAGUUCCUCAACUGAUUCAACUGAACCUUUAAUAAAAGUUCCCGAAACAGAACAAACAAAAUCUGAAGGAUCAUGUGUCACCAUCUCCUGUACUUAUAAUCAAGGACAGGAUGAAAACUUGAAACUUCUCUGGUUUAAGAAUCCAGAAUA